rnacentral:rRNA from 1 species
GAUGAACGCUGUCAGAAUGCUUAACACAUCAGCAAUGGAUUGUCGGCGGCCGGGUGAGUAACGCGUAAAUAACUCGCCUCACAGGUAGGGACAACUUUUGGAAACGAAUGCUAAUACUUAAUACUGUGAGAGAGCUUUGCGUCCCAUUAGCUAGUCGGAGAGGUAAUGGCUCACCAAGGCGAUGAUAGGUAGCCGGCCUGUGAGGGCGAUCGGCCACAAGGGGACUGAGACACGGCCCUUACUCCUACGGGAGGCAGCAGUGGGGAAUAUUGGACGAUGGACCAAAGUCUGAUCCAGCAAUUCUGUGUGCACGAUGAAGUUUUCGGAAUGUAAAGUGCUUUCAGUUGGGAAGCGGUACCAACAGAAGAAAUGACGGCUAAAUACGUGCCAGCCGCCGCGGUAAUUC